rnacentral:rRNA from 1 species
UACGUAGGGUGCGAGCGUUAAUCGGAAUUACUGGGCGUAAAGUGUGCGCAGGCGGCCGCGCAAGUCGAGUGUGAAAUCCCCGAGCUUAACUUGGGAAUUGCGCUCGAAACUACGUGGCUGGAGUGUGGCAGAGGAAGGUGGAAUUCCACGUGUAGCGGUGAAAUGCGUAGAGAUGUGGAGGAACACCGAUGGCGAAGGCAGCCUUCUGGGCCAACACUGAUGCUCAUGCACGAAAGCGUGGGGAGCAAACAGG